GGGGGCGACCUGGCUUCGACGGGGGUUGCAAAACCAGAAGUGCAUGCCGAGCAUGGGAACUCUCGUUAAUCAGACUCAAAAAAUAUAAAUGCAAACGAUGAAAACUUCGCAGGACAAGCUAUAGCUGCAUAAGCUUUGGUUUUACUGCAACGUGUAUCGGCCUUAACCCCGGUGCCCCGUUGACCGAGCUCGCUUAUUGGUAUCGAAUCAACGGUCAUAGAAGAUAAGCUAGUGUCCUAAUCUAUCCCGGGUUAUGAUGCGAAAUUCAGGGAAUCGCUGUGUACCAUCCUGCCUGUCGGAGUGUCCACAGUUAAAUCAAAUGACAAGGCUACGCAUGUAGAGCUGAAGGCAGAGGAUCUGCGGACGCGGGUUCGAUUCCCGCCGCCUCCACCA
rnacentral:tmRNA from 1 species